rnacentral:rRNA from 1 species
GGAAAGGGCGGGGAGGGGGCGGCGGUAAUACGGGGGGUGGAGGCGUUAAACGGACGUAGCGGGCGUACAGCGUGAGCAGGGGGUGAUGUAAGACAGAGGUGAAAUCCCCGGGCUCAACCUGGGAACUGCAUUGGUGACUGCAUAGCUAGAGUACGGCAGAGGGGGAUGGAAUUCCGCGUGUAGCAGUGAAAUGCGUAGAUAUGCGGAGGAACACCGAUGGCGAAGGCAAUCCCCUGGGCCUGUACUGACGCUCAUGCACGAAAGCGUGGGGAGCAAACAGGAUUAGAUACCCUGGUAGUC